UACGUAGGGUGCAGGCGUUAAUAGGAAUUACUGGGCGUAAAGCGUGCGCAGGCGGUCUUUUAAGUCAGAUGUGAAAUCCCCGGGCUUAACCUGGGAACUGCGUUUGAAACUGGAAGGCUUGAGUGUGGCAGAGGGGGGUGGAAUUCCACGUGUAGCAGUGAAAUGCGUAGAGAUGUGGAGGAACACCGAUGGCGAAGGCAGCCCCCUGGGCUAACACUGACGCUCAUGCACGAAAGCGUGGGGAGCAAACAGG
rnacentral:rRNA from 1 species